AGACCCACUCCCCAUCCCCUCGUCGCCUCCUUCCCUUCCAGAUUGCCGCCGCCACCUCCCUCCCCAUCCCCUCGCCGCACCCGCUGUAGCUCCCACCCUCCCAGCCGCACCAGUGCACGUUGUCGUUCGCUCCUCUACCUGCAGGCGAUGCCGAGCCCGCGGUCUCCCUCCCCAAGAUUGCUCUGGAGCCCGCUGUCCUCCUACACCUACAGCGGGAACAUGCAGGAGCAGCAGUGAGCCAGAUCUGGGCCUUGUCGAGGAGGUCUGUCUCUGGAGCCGCUGAUGGGGGCCAUAGCGGCGGGGAACGCCGUGGCGCUGAAGCCGUCGGAGCUGGCGCUGUCAACGGCCAGGUUCCUGGAAGAGAACAUAGGCGAGUACCUGGACGCCAAUGCGGUGAAGGUCAUCCAGGGCGGCCCCGCGGUGGGCGAGCAGCUGAUGGAGCACCAAUGGGACAAGGUCCUCUUCACCGCAAUUUGGCAGGGUGCCUGCGCGUGGCACGCGUGGUGAUGGCGGGGCGACGAAGCACCUAACGCCGGUGGCGCUGGAGCUGGGCGGGAAGUGCCCCUGCAUCUUCGAAGCCGUUGCCGGCUAGAGGAACCUCCAGUCCUGUGUGAACCGCGUGAUCUUCGCCAAGUGGUCAUCCUGCGCCGGCCAGGCCUGCAUCGCCAUCGACUACGUGCUCGUCGAGGAGCGAUUCGCGCCCACCCUGUUGCUCAAAUCGACGCUCAAGAGGUUCAUCACCGACUCGGACGAGAUGGCGCGGAACGUCAACGCGCGACAUUUCAAGCGGCUGAGUAACCUCCUCAAGGACCCGGCGGUGGCGGCAUCCAUUACAUCCAGAGAAUCCCAGGUAUGAGAUAUUUCUCUUCUGAUGAUUAUUUUAUCCUCCCUCCAGAGAAUCCCAGGUUGGUGGAUCUGGUUCUACUACAUCUGCAGACCUGGCCUUGAGGGGGGCAGGGGGGCGGCGAUUUAGCGAAUUCGUCGUCGUCUCAUCUAUGCCGAUCUCCACUCCCGAGCGUCCCCACCAAAAGAUGCAGUCAGUACUCGUACACGGUGCCGCUUUCUUUGCCGCCAUCAGACGCUGGCAUGCACAGAAGCAUCGCCCGAUUCGCCUAGCACUAGUUGCUAGAGACACACGCUGAGUCCACAUCGUGGUGUAGGCUCAUCGCUGAACCAUCCAGUCCAUCCCAGGUACACUGUAAGUUUGCAUCCAUAAUAAAUCAAGAUCCAAACUAUGGCACCAGAGGGCCACAACACUACAUUUUCUUCCUGCGCCUGAAUCUAAUCAAACGAGCAAAAAUAUACUGCUGAGACUCAAUGGAUGAUCUGAAGCACCCAAAAGAAGUAGAGGACAGGUCAGGAGGAGGGAACAAGAAGCUUCGUUUAUCAUUGAUGUUAUGCGUGAACAAUAAAAACUUGUGCUUCUCAUUCAAUCUUUGUUGAACUAUGUUGAUGUGUGAUUAUGCACUGGUCGGACGCUUUUGUUGUGCACCUGCACUUGUAGAACUAUUUUGUUGUGCACUUGUUGGGCCUUAAAUCUUUAUGUGUAGAGGAACCGAUUGAUGAUGUAUUGUAAUUCAUGUGAUGUGCUACUUAAAUGAAAUAUAUACAACUAAUUGGCAAUCUUUUA